GUAUUCAGGGCCUACAAAACACGUGCCUUCUGUGCCCUUGAUGUUGACAAGCGGACGACGCAACACCGGUGUAACUGGUCAUAGAAGACGAUAAGAAAACAGAGCUCAAUUGCGGUUAAUUCACUCAGGAGGGGACCAUGUGGCCAGUGGUAGCAGCUUUAGCACGGACAUAUGCUCCGUAUUUGUUGUUCCCCGUCACAGCUACCAUAGGAUUCUUUGGAUACAUGUAUGAAUCAAACUUUAGACAAAUAAAUGUACCUUUUAAAUCAACAACUAUUCAAGAGGAGCGAGACCAGAGAAAGUUGGAAGAAGUGAAAGAACAAACAGAUCUGACAAAUUUAAAAAGUUUGAAAUCCAAACCAAAUGUACCAACGUCCAUUCUAGACAGAAAUGAUAAAUCCAACAUCACCAAGGGUACACCAGUACAAGACACAUCUUGAUGAGAGAUAACAAUUAGGUAUGGAAGUGUAAUAUCCACAUACUGUUUCAUGUAACUGUCAGUAAGAAGACAAGUAACAUGGGCCAUGUCAGCACAGAAAGUGUCUCUAAGGAGAAACAGUGAAAAUGCAAAGUGUAUUACAGACAUCAGCAGAUUCUGAAGUUCACAUAUUUCAUCUUCCAACAUUACAUUUAUAGAGACGUACAUCUGAUGAGAAGUAAUAAAAAUUUUAAAUGUA